ensembl:snRNA U2 U2 spliceosomal RNA
ACUGAUUCUUGGUGUUUUGGCUAAGAUCAAGUGUAGUAUCUGUUCUUAUCAGUUUAAUAUGUGAUACAUCCUCUAUCUGAGGACAUUAUAUUAAAUGGAUUUUUGGAGUCAGAAUAGGGGCUUGCUCCCCUGACUCCACGCAUCAAGUAUUGCAGUACUUCCAGGAAUGAUGCACCACAA